rnacentral:tRNA from 1 species
AAAGUUUUAGUUAAUCAAUAACAUUAAUUUGUCAAAUUAAAAUUGCUCUAUAAGCAAACUUUU